AAAACUGUACGGGGAUUUACAUACUUGCAGCGAGUCAGCAAUUUUCUAUCUCGCAGUUUCCUCGGGACUUUCAUUUGAAAAAGAAAAAAGGAGUUCAUUACUUCUCUGCUUCAGCUACUCCUUGUAACGAUUUUUCUUUUCCUUUUCAAUUUGGUCCUUUCAAUUUUCUUGUUGGAUUUGAAGCAGUAAUCCUUUUCCGAAUCGUUGAAUUCCCCUGUGAAAAUUUCUGAUCGGUGUUUCAUCGCUCCGUUGAAGAAUGCCGUCGUCGCCACGAAAGAAUUAGUAAAACGGAAAACAAACGGAUAAAACUAGAAUGCGAACCAUUUGCGACGUCUGCGACAGCGCCGCCGCGAUCAUAUUCUGCGCCGCCGACGAGGCUGCUCUCUGCCGUUCCUGCGACGAAAAGGUUCACAUGUGUAACAAGCUUGCCAGCAGACAUGUCAGAGUUGGUUUAGCCGACCCCAGCAAUGUCCCACGCUGUGAUAUAUGUGAAAAUGCACCUGCUUUCUUUUACUGUGAAGUGGAUGGUAGUUCCCUUUGCCUGCAAUGUGAUAUGAUUGUACAUGUUGGAGGUAAAAGGACCCAUGGGAGGUAUCUCUUGUUGAGGCAGAGAGUUGAGUUUCCAGGGGAUAAGCCUGGUCGUUUGGAGGAACCAGGUUUACAACCGCUCAGUCCGAAUGAAGUAAGGAAGGAUCUGAAUCAGCAGUCAAAGCUUGCAGUGAGAGAGAACCGGCAAAACCAUGGAGUCUCUCAUAUUCCAUUGCAUGAUGAUAAUGCUAAGGGUGAUGGAGAGGUAGGAAAUGAGUUGAUUGAUCUAAAUGCCAGGCCACAACAGGUGCAGGGGCAAGCUUCGAUCAAUCAGGAGCAAGCCAUGGAUGUUUCGAGUGGCAAUAAUCAUGACACUACUAGUGGGAUCCCUGAUGGAUCCUUCAAACAAGAGCCUGAAAAAUGAGCUAGAUAUAGCUGGAUCAGUUUUCUCACAUCUAUGUAUUUAUUGAGUAAAGCGCUUGCCUUUGUCAGAUAUGUCUUCCUUGCCCUUGGAUUAGUCUCUGUCUAUUCAAUUCCUUUACACAAAUGAAAACUUUUGAAGCUGGUGAUUACAAUGACUAGUUGCCAUCAAAUUGUAAGUGGGAAAUAGAAGAGUAAUGGAGGGGAAAUUUUCACUUUUGAAAGGAAAAAUUCCCCCGCUUGUUUCUCCGGAAAAUUUCUUUUCUUUUUUGGUUCGAAUUUUGGGGCCGGAAGCAGAACAAGCAGUGGGAGACUAUGAAUCAUGUUGCUCUUACACCCCUUCUAAGUGGCAUCCAAUUUUACCUUUGUUUAACUUCCAUUAUGGCGUUUCUUCUACUUUUGCCACACUCCAAUAGCAGCUGAAUUUUUUUUGAUGGAAUCCAAUAAUAAGAUGGUGAAAUAUUAUGAAAAACACAGUUUAAUUGUGUCAGUAGAUCCGUCUAUGGAUUGGGUGCACUCAGGCACGUGUAAGUCUAUUUCAAUUUUUAUGCAUAAUGAUCCAUCCUCUUAAAGUUAAAAAUUCCUCGGAAAAUGGAUCGAUCAUUAAAAGAGAAUCUGUUUCUCUUAUAAUUUGAGCAAAUCAUUUCAUGUCCAAUUCUUGAUUCAUUUUUGAACGGAUUUUUUUAGUCCAACAUUUCCAAGCAGACAUCAUCAAGCAGGAUCGAGAAAUGGUAAUGCGGAAGUUAAUCAGAUCAGUUUACCCUAAUUUUUCGGUGGCUAAAAUGCAGAUUCAAGCUUGUUUUAGUAUUUAUGAUGAUGCAUUUAUAAGUAAUCUCAUCAGCAAGAAGUUUAUUUAACAGUACAUUGCAAUCCAGAACAAAAAGUAGUCUCCAGAGCCUAUAAAACAUUCAACACAAAGAGAAAGAAACCAUAUCAUGAAAUCUCCACCAUCUCAGCUAAAGCUUUGUUUGCAGCAGCUUAGUAGACGUA